rnacentral:sRNA from 1 species
AGGCGACACCGCCUGCAUUAAUGCCAACUUUUAGCGCACGGCUCUCACAAGAGCCAUUUCCCUGGACCGAAUAUAGGAAUCGUAUUCGGUCUUUUUUU